CCUUCGCUAAUCUUCGAUAAAGUAAACAUGACUUUUAUCGUCCCGCCGGUUGUCCGUGUCGCAUAGGUUAACGUUAUGGACGAUCUCCCUCGACGGGUGAGAGGAGAAAUUGCUUGGACAAGUCGAAUAGUGUGUAAGUAAGUAAGAUAUUCCCGAUGCCUCGCGUCGUGAUAAAUGCGAAACGAGAAAAGAAAAGAAAAACAGGAAGAAGUAGAAGUAGAUGGAUAAAAAGAAUAAGAAUAAUAAUAAGAAGAAGAAGAAGAAGAAGAAGAUUUCUCUUUCAUGAUCGUUACCUCACAACAUAGAAACAGGCAUCGUGCCGACGAUAAAUAAGAGACGUGACGACAAUCGUGAAUUUCUGAAUAACCGAUUCAAUUACUUUUUCAAUUUAGUGUUAGUAGAGAAUUCAUUGUAGGUAAGUGUAUUUGGAGAGUUUGCAAUAGUAACACCGGUUUACAUCUGUCAAAGGAAAUCUAAUGAAAGUUUUACAUGAUAGAACACCUAUAAAAGAAAAGAAAAUCAAAGAAAAAUAAGGAUAGAGUACGAGGAACAAAGAGAACAUGAACACACGAACACAUGAACAUGAUAGAUAGAUGGAAAGAAAGAAAAGGAAUGAAAAAGAUAGAAAAACAUGAAAUUGUACCGACUACCAGACGCCAAGAUUUGUUCCACGUGACUUGUCGGCUCUCGUUUCCGCUUUCCAGUCGCAUGACGGACUACAAGGAAUGAAACCAUUGACGCGUUUCCGGCCACACCACGAGGACGAACGUGACAAAGUAGAAAAGAGGAGAAGACGUAGAAGAGAAGCAGGAACGUUUAAAUCAAAGAGUACUUACUGAGAAGUACCCCGAACAUAAGCCGCAAGACGUUUCUUAAUCUUGCGAUUAGCCGCGGAAACGCGUGCUCUGGAUUCCACGAUAUUUUCGCUUGAAAGAAAGGAAAGAAAGGAAA
rnacentral:lncRNA from 1 species